ensembl:lncRNA
GUUUGACUUCACAGAAGAAGCACUGGCAGCUUUCGGAUUUUGAGGACACACCAUACACCCCUUUGGGGAUUUUUCUCUUUUCCUCCGUUUCUGGAUCAUCUCUCCAUCUAACAGAUGAGGAACUGAGGCCCACAGGGAGAGGGGAUGACAGGUCCAGGCUCACACAGCAAGAAGUAAAGUGAGGCGGGAACAUCAGCCCAUGAACACAGGGACUUCUGUCUGUUUCUGUUCUCCAUUCUCCCCCUGGGGCCUAGAAGAGGGCCUGGCCGGGGUGCAGUAGUCGUUUGCUGCGUGACUGAGUGACAGAGGAGGCUGCUGUCCCCGGAAGCUUGCAGGCUCGUACCACCCUCUACACCUCGCCUCCCGGAGCCCUGGCGCACUCAGGCGGUGCUGCUCAAAGCAGAGGCAAGGCUGUCCUCGUCUUUUUCUCCUGGUGGAGCUGGGGGCUCAGGAUCCACUAACACAAUGCAGGUGAGCCAAGCUCCCCGCUGAGGAACAGAAGACUGCAGAGAGUCACAGUGUGUACUCUGGGGUGGUCUCCCAGUGGGUUACAGGUGGCCCAGGUGGCAUGGCCACUGGAGGUCAGGUGGCCACAGCAGCUCAAGGGACACCGGCACCAGAUGGGAGCAAGGGAGGUGUUGAGGAACUGACAGGUGUGGCCUGUCCCUGUGGCCAGGAAACCACCCCCCAGAUGGUGUCGACGAUGCCAACUCCACUUUGGAUGUGACGUGUGGGUGGCACUGGGCUGAGGGCUCCCCACGCAUCUCGCUUGCACCCUGCAACCCCCUGUGAGGCCAUGCCAGUAUCUCUUUUCCAUGGAUAUAGACUGCGGGACUCAGAGAGGAGAAAGGCCCCACUGAAUCACCAUGCAACUGAGGAGAGGUGCUGGAACCUGGGAUGAUCAGUCACCUCCUGGAAUUGAAGGAUGAGAACCCAGACUCCAAGGCCACCACGGGGUGGAAGGAAAUGGAGGUGAGAGGACAGCUAAGUCAGGGCUCUCACAUUGCAUGACUCCACCGCGUUAAACUUUGCUAAGGUUUCCUAGUGUCUUAUGAAUGGCCAAGGCAGGGAGCGUAGCCAGGCCCACUGAGGGGGACCAGUGAAUAACCCCACAUGGUGGAUUAAAAAUGGCCACAAUUCUUUGACACGCACCCUCCUGGAAAAGUGGAAUUUGUCUCCCCACCCCUUGAAUUUGGACUGGCCUAGGACUGCUUUGGCCAACAAAAUGCAGUGAAAUUAAUUCAGGGCCAAUUUUGGGCCUCAGACUUAAGAAGCUUUUGGAAGUCCUGAGUUGCCAUGUAAGAAGUCCAGUUUCCUCCCCCAGAAAGGCCACGUGGAGAAGGUCGGGCCCUGAGACCACACAGAGAGAGAAGGAGAGAGAGAGAGAUGUCCAGGCUGGCAGCCCUGUCUACCAUGGGAGCAGACACGUGCAUGGGCCACUCUGGAUGGUCCAGCCUGGCUGAGACCCGCAGCCCCAGCCAGCACCACAGGGAGCAGAAGAACCACCCAAAUGAGCCCAGUCAGCCCACAGAAUCACGACAAUAAGAGGUGGUGGUUUUAAGUUCCGGGGUAGUUUGUUACACAGCAAUAAAUAACUGAAACCCCCUUGGACUGGAAAGCCAUCAGAGACCCAGCAAAUGCAGCCUCCAAUCUCUGCCUUUCGGCACACCUGGAAGAAGAUAGGGACCUCCCAGCUCCGGCACCAGCAGCCAGGUCACUCUGGUCCUCCCAUCCAAAUUCCCAGAAGAGAGAUGUUGAUUGGCUCAAUGGGGGUCAGGUGUCCUCCCAUUGACCAAUCAGCUGAGUGCAGCAGUCACAGGGCAUCGGUGCUGCUGUCCUGCCCUCCCUCUGUGUGUGGGGAGUGAGACAAUCUAGAAGAAAGGCAGUGUGGGCUCAGCAAUCGCCACAGGUGGAGUGCUGUGACAAGGAGCCUCCUGGGACGGCAGAAAAACUCCCAGCGCAGGGCCUGGCACAGAGAAAGGGCUCGGUGAAAGUCCUGGAUUCAAGUUCCCUCUCUCCAACUGGCCCACUGCUGAGCAAGUCACCCCAUCCCUCGGAGGCUCAGCUUUCCCAUCUGUAAAAUGAGGACGACGCAAGUCUCUUCUGGGCAGGGUUACUGGGGGGAUGAAGUGAGAUCCCAUAAAUGCAUUUGUAAUGGAAAAGGCAGGACAAACGCGAACUGGUUUUGGAGUCAUUGCUGUCAUCGCUGUUACCACCACCGCCACCAUCCUGCAAUGGCCCCCAUCACCCGCCAC